UGGGGAAUUUUGGACAAUGGGCGAAAGCCUGAUCCAGCAAUGCCGCGUGUGUGAAGAAGGCCUUCGGGUUGUAAAGCACUUUUGUCCGGAAAGAAAUCCUUGGCUCUAAUACAGUCGGGGGAUGACGGUACCGGAAGAAUAAGCACCGGCUAACUACGUGCCAGCAGCCGCGGUAAUACGUAGGGUGCAAGCGUUAAUCGGAAUUACUGGGCGUAAAGCGUGCGCAGGCGGUUUGCUAAGACCGAUGUGAAAUCCCCGGGCUCAACCUGGGAACUGCAUUGGUGACUGGCAGGCUAGAGUAUGGCAGAGGGGGGUAGAAUUCCACGUGUAGCAGUGAAAUGCGUAGAGAUGUGGAGGAAUACCGAUGGCGAAGGCAGCCCCCUGGCCAAUACUGACGCUCAUGCACGAAAGCGUGGGGAGCAAACAGGAUUAGAUACCCUGGUAGUCCACGCCCUAAACGAUGUCAACUAGUUGUUGGGGAUUCAUUUCCUUAGUAACGUAGCUAACGCGUGAAGUUGACCGCCUGGGGAGUACGGUCGCAAGAUUAAAACUCAAAUGAAUUGACGGGGUCAUAGCUGUUUCCU
rnacentral:rRNA from 1 species